GCCAGGAACAGUGGUGCAUGCCUGUAGUCCCAGCUACUUGGGAGGCUGAGGUGGGAGGAUGGCUUCAGCCCAGGAGUUUUGGGCUGUAGUACAAUAUGCUGAUUGGGUGUCCGCACUAAGUUCGGCAUCAAUAUGGUGACCUCCCGGGAGCAGGGGACCACCAGGUUGCCUAAGCGGGGGUGAACCAGCCCAGGUCUGAAAUGGAGCAGGUCAAAACUGCUGUACUGAUCAGUAGUGGGAUCACGCCUGUGAAUAGCCACUGCACUCCAGCCUGAGCAACAAAGCAAGACCCCAUCUCU
rnacentral:SRP_RNA from 1 species